UACGUAGGUGGCAAGCGUUGUCCGGAUUUAUUGGGUUUAAAGGGUGCGUAGGCGGUCUAUUAAGUCAGCGGUGAAAUACUCCAGCUUAACUGGAGGGGUGCCAUUGAUACUGAUGGACUUGAGUCAAGUCGAGGUAGGCGGAAUUGACGGUGUAGCGGUGAAAUGCGCAGAUAUCAGGAGGAACACCGAUGGCGAAGGCAGUGUUCUGGGCCAGUACUGACGCUGAGGAGCGAAAGCGUGGGGAGCAAACAGG
rnacentral:rRNA from 1 species